GGAUGGCUCAGUUGGGGAUAGCAUGAGGCUGUUAAUCCCAGGGUGGUGGGUUCGAGUGCCACUCUGAGCA